rnacentral:rRNA from 1 species
AUAAAAGGUACCUCGGGGAUAACAGGCUGAUCUUGCCCAAGAGUCCAUAUCGACGGCAUGGUUUGGCACCUCGAUGUCGGCUCGUCGCAUCCUGGGGCUGGAGUAGGUCCCAAGGGUUGGGCUGUUCGCCCAUUAAAGCGGUACGCGAGCUGGGUUUAGAACGUCGUGAGACAGUUCGGUCCCUAUCCGCUGCGCGCGCAGGAACUUUGAGAGGAUCUGACCCUAGUACGAGAGGACCGGGUUGGACGAACCUCUGGUGUGUCAGUUGUUCCGCCAGGAGCACCGCUGAUUAGCUACGUUCGGGAUGGAUAACCGCUGAAAGCAUCUAAGCGGGAAGCCGGCCUCAAGAUGAGAUUUCCAUGCCUUCGGGCGAGAGGCUCCCAGCCAGAUUACUGGGUUGAUAGGCCAGAUGUGUAAGCGUGGCAACACGUGCAGCUGACUGGUACUAAUAAGCCGAUGACUUGAUAAC